UUCCGGUUGAUCCUGCCGGAGGCUACCGCUAUUGGAGUUCGAUUAAGCCAUGCGAGUCGCGAGUCUUAGGGACUCGGCGUACCGCUCAGUAACACGUGGGUAACCUGCCCUAUGCUGGGGGAUAACCUCGGGAAACUGAGAAUAAUACCCCAUAGUUCACCACGCCUGGAACGGUGGGUGGACCAAAGCUCCGGCGGCAUAGGAUGGGCCUGCGGCGUAUCAGGUUGUAGGGGGUGUAAUGUACCCUCUAGCCCUCUACGCGUACGGGUGUUGAGAGACAUCGCCCGGAGAUGGAUUCUGAGACACGAAUCCAGACCCUACGGGGUGCAGCAGGCGCGAAAACUUGGCAAUGCGAGAAAUCGUGACCAGGGAACUCCAAGUGCAUCGGGUAAGACCGAUGCUUUUCUUGACUCUUCAAAGGUCUUGGAAUAAGGGGUGGGUAAGGACGGUGCCAGCCGCCGCGGUAAUACCGGCGCCCCAAGUGGUAGUCGCUUUUAUUGGGCCUAAAACGUCCGUAGCCGGUCUGGUACAUUCGUGGGUAAAUCAACCAGCUCAACUGGUUGAAUUCUGCGAGCACGGCCAGACUUGGGACCGGGAGAGGUGUGGGGUACUCUCAGGGUAGGGGUAAAAUCCUGUCAUCCUGAGGGGACCACCUGUUGCGAAGGCGCCACACUAGAACGGAUCCGACGGUCAGGGACGAAGCCUAGGGGCACGAACCGGAUUAGAUACCCGGGUAGUCCUAGGUGUAAACGCUGUGGACUUGAUGUUGGGGGCGCUCCGAGCGCACUCAGUGUCGAAGCGAAGGUGAUAAGUCCACUGCCUGGGGAGUACGGUCGCAAGGCUGAAACUUAAAGGAAUUGGCGGGGGAGCACCGCAACCUGAGGAUUGUGCGGUUUAAUUGGAGUCAACGCCGG
rnacentral:rRNA from 1 species